AAGUAGAGAAGCAUGGGUGCAAACUUAUUAAACUUCAAUAUUAUGUGUUAAUUAACUUAAUUUGUUUAAAUAUAUAUUGCAAGUUUGUCUUGCAGAAUCAAAACACAAGCUGUUGGAAUUAGUGGAUAAUUGACCAUCUUAACAUUAGCAGUGAAGUGCACCAAUAUAUUCACCACUGUUAGACCCACAACGUCUGAUGUUAGCAAGCAGUAUUGUCACUCUAUGCAGUAGGACGAAUCUCAGGAUGCACUGUUGAUAUUGGCCAUGGAAAGAUAGCAUUGGAGAAGCAAGUAAUGGAUCCAGUAGAAAAUUGAAGCACAAAAUUUGCAAUCGUAGAGUUACAAGUGCAUGCUAAGAAAAUUACAUACACAUACACAGAGAUAGAGAAAGAGAGAGAUAAAUAGAGUUCUUCAGAAGGAAGUAUGCUCAUGAGGCUUACAACAAAGAACUAAGCAUAUGAGCUGGGUGGUGAUGCAUUUUUCUUUACUUUUGUCAUGUUUAUAGAUGCAUUUUUUUUUUCUUUCUAAUAUUAGCCUUUGAGUA